UGCUCCAUGAGCUAGAGCUGAAGUAAUAAGUUAUAUCCCUCAAAAUGUUUGGCCCCUUGCUGACACUUUUUUAAGGCUCGAUAUAUCUCAGCGACAGUCAUAGGCACUAUGCUGAAAGAUUGUCCACCAAUCUCUUCAAUCAGGGUCUUGGUUACCAUGGUCAGUUUGGUGUGGAUCCUAGCCUUCUUCAUAGGAAAGACUAUCAUCCCCAGAAAAUAAAACACGAAGACGAAAACCUUUCUGUGGAUAUACCCCAAAGAGGUGAGAGAAAAUUCGUCGGGGUAGGUGCGGUAUGACUUGCUAUGGUCGUACCUCUCGUACAAAUAGUCAAAUGAGAUGUAGGAGUCCUUCAGACAGAUCAAGUUUGGAUUCCUCUUUAG
rnacentral:lncRNA from 1 species